GAUGAACGCUGGCGGCGUGCUUAACACAUGCAAGUCGGACGGAAAGGCCCUGCUUUUGUGGGGUGCUCGAGUGGCGAACGGGUGAGUAACACGCGAGUAACCUGCCCUUGACUUUGGGAUAACUUCAGGAAACUGGGGCUAAUACCGGAUAGGAGCUCCUGCUGCACGGUGGGGGUUGGAAAGUUUCGGCGGUUGGGGAUGGACUCGCGGCUUAUCAGCUUGUUGGUGGGGUAGUGGCUUACCAAGGCUUUGACGGGUAGCCGGCCUGAGAGGGUGACCGGCGACAUGGGGACUGAGAUAGGGCCCAGACUCCUACGGGAGGCAGCGGUGGGAAAUAUUGCACAAUGGGCGGAAGCCUAAUGCGGAAACGCCGCGUGCGGGAUGACGGCCUUCGGGUGGUGAACCGCUUUCGCCUGUGACGAAGCGUGAGUGACGGUAAUGGGUAAAGAAGCACCGGCUAACUACGUG
rnacentral:rRNA from 1 species